rnacentral:rRNA from 1 species
AUUGAACGCUGUCGGCAGGCUUAACACAUGCAAGUCGAGCGAGCGGCGGACGGGUGAGUAAUGUAUGGGGAUCUGCCCGAUAGAGGGGGAUAACUACUUGAAACGGUGGCUAAUACCGCAUACUAUCGGAUGAACCCAUAUGGGAUUAGCUAGUAGGUGGGGUAAAGGCUCACCUAGGCGACGAUCUCUAGCUGGUCUGAGAGGAUGAUCAGGCACACUGGGACUGAGACACGGCACAGACUCCUACGGGAGGAAGCAGUGGGGAAUAUUGCACAAUGGGCGCAAGCCUGAUGCAGCCAUGCCGCGUGUAUGAAGAAGGCCUUAGGGUUGUAAAGUACUUUCAGCGGGGAGGCGUUACCCGCAGAAGAAGCACCGGCUAACUCCGUGCCAGCAGCCGCGGUAAUAC